rnacentral:rRNA from 1 species
AACGAACGCUGGCGGCGUGCUUAACACAUGCAAGUCGAACGCGAAAGGGACUUCGGUCCUGAGUAAAGUGGCGCACGGGUGAGUAACGCGUGGAUAAUCUACCCGAUGAUCUGGGAUAACAUUUCGAAAGGGGUGCUAAUACCGGAUAAGACCACGGUUUCUUCGGAGACUGCGGUAAAAGGUGGGGACCUUCGGGCCUACCGUUAUCGGAUGAGUCCGCGUACCAUUAGCUAGUUGGUGGGGUAAGAGCCCACCAAGGCGACGAUGGUUAGCUGGUCUGAGAGGAUGAUCAGCCACACUGGAACUGAGACACGGUCCAGACUCCUACGGGAGGCAGCAGUGGGGAAUUUUGCGCAAUGGGGGAAACCCUGACGCAGCAACGCCGCGUGAGUGAUGAAGGCCUUCGGGUCGUAAAGCUCUGUCAGAGGGAAAGAAGUGCAGUGGUGCUAAUACCAUCAUUGCUUGACGGUA